rnacentral:rRNA from 1 species
UGGGGAAUAUUGCACAAUGGGCGCAAGCCUGAUGCAGCCAUGCCGCGUGUAUGAAGAAGGCCUUCGGGUUGUAAAGUACUUUCAGCGGGGAGGAAGGGAGUAAAGUUAAUACCUUUGCUCAUUGACGUUACCCGCAGAAGAAGCACCGGCUAACUCCGUGCCAGCAGCCGCGGUAAUACGGAGGGUGCAAGCGUUAAUCGGAGUUACUGGGCGUAAAGCGCACGCAGGCGGUUUGUUAAGUCAGAUGUGAAAUCCCCGGGCUCAACCUGGGAACUGCAUCUGAUACUGGCAAGCUUGAGUCUCGUAGAGGGGGGUAGAAUUCCAGGUGUAGCGGUGAAAUGCGUAGAGAUCUGGAGGAAUACCGGUGGCGAAGGCGGCCCCCUGGACGAAGACUGACGCUCAGGUGCGAAAGCGUGGGGAGCAAACA